AAAUAACUACGAGUAAAAACUUAAAACUUAAAAGACUUGACGGUACUUCACACCACCCUAGAGGAGCCUGUCUAAUAACCGAUACUCCACGAUUAAACCAACCCACUCUAGCCCAGCCAGUCUAUAUACCGCCAUCGCCAGCUCACCUUGUAAAAGAAACACAGCGAGCAUAAAAGCCACACCACCACUAAUACGAUAGGUCGAGGUGUAACUCAUGAGUGGGAAUAAGAUGGGCUACAUUUUCUAACAAAGAAAACACGAACCAACUACGAAUAGUGGAAACAGAAGGAGGAUUUAGCAGUAUGUUGAGGACAAAAUGCUCAACAGAAAUAAACGCAAUGAAGUGCGU
rnacentral:rRNA from 1 species